GCGUUAAUCGGAAUUACUGGGCGUAAAGCGCAUGGCAGGCGGCCUGUUAAGUCAGAUGUGAAAGUCCCGGGGCUUAACCUCGGAAUUGGCAUUUGAAACUGGCAGGCUAGAGUCUUGUAGAGGGGGUAGAAUUUCAGGUGUAGCGGUGAAAUGCGUAGAGAUCUGAAGGAAUACCAGUGGCGAAGGCCGGCCCCCUGGACAAAGACUGACGCUCAGAUGCGAAAGCGUGGGGAGCAAACAGGAUUAGAUACCCCUGGUAG
rnacentral:rRNA from 1 species